CUCAGCCAUUUUAUAAACGUCUUGCCCCUUCGGAUUAUACGCCAAGGCAUUAGUAAAAGUCAACCUAACGUCUGAAGCGAAAUCAACGGGAGAUCUAUAAAACCCCUUUUCAAGAUUCGUCUUCACAGUACCAAGAUCCAUAGGCUUCUUCACGAUCAGAUGAUAGUCGUGAAGCCCUAACCCCAACACGUCAACAGGCGUGUUGAACACCCACGACCACUUGAAGAUCCAUAGGCUUCUUCACGAUCAGAUGAUAGUCGUGAAGCCCCAACCCUAACACGUCGACAGGCGUGUUGAACACCCACGACCACUUAUGCUUCAUCAGCUUCGCCAAGAUCUGACCGCACGUCGACAUCGUGCUCCUCAACGCCUUCUCCGACUCC
rnacentral:lncRNA from 1 species